rnacentral:rRNA from 1 species
GACGAACGCUGGCGGCGUGCUUAACACAUGCAAGUCGAGCGGAGCGGCGAACGGGAGAGUAACGGGUGAGUAACUGCCCCCCUCUCUGGCAUCACAGUAGGAAACGGCUGCUAAUACCGGAUAGUGGGGGAUGAUUCGGGGCCUAUCAGCUUGUUGGUGGGGUAGUGGCUUCCCAAGGCGACGACGGGUAGCCGGCCUGAGAGGGUGACCGGCCACAUUGGGCUGAGAGACGGCCCAAACUCCUACGGGAGGCAGCAGUGGGGAAUAUUGCACAAUGGGGGGAACCCCGAUGCAGCGACGCCGCGUGCGGGAUGACGGCCUUCGGGUUGUAAACCGCUUUCAGCCAUGACGCGGUAGUUGCAUAAGAAGCACCGGCUAACUACGUGCCAGCAGCCGCGGUAAUUC